GGGAGUGCUGAGGAGGGAUGGGGCCCCAUCAGCCUCUCUGGACACCAGGCCGGCUAAGUACACACUCUCCUCUGGGAGGAGCAGGAGAAGGCGGAUUCUGACUGUCCUGAGAUCAGAUGGGGAUUCAUGGAAAGGACAAGCGUGGAUCUCUCGGCUCAGUCCAGAGGACGUCCUGAUGAAUGAGGGGUCCUGCCUGUCUCCCAGCUCUCCCCAGGCGGUCUUGGAUGCUGCAGAUUUUUUUAAGGUCACAGUGGUCACCUGGUGUCAACAUUUCUGUGUAGCCCCCCUCUCCCUGAAUCUCUCAGAAGAGGAAAUUCAGGGACACACGUUAAGGUGAGGGGUUUUGUUGGGUGGUGCAGAGGAAAGGGGCAAUGUUUAAGCGUGGUCCGAGACCAUCUGACGUUUCCCUGUGAGCCUUAAAGGGCUGCUCAAGGGAGAAUCCAUGAAGUGUGCAGGGGAAGGGAUUCUGGAAAUAGAGAUUUACAGUAAUUGCUUAAGUAAUUUAUGAGGAAAAACUUAAAGGAUCAUUUUUCUGAGUUAACUUAGCCAUAGCCUCCUGGAAUGUCACUAUUGGGAGGAAAUGUAGAGAUGGUGUGGUUUAUCUGUAUCAGAGUGAGAUUUAUGGAUGGGCACCCAAGUUGACAAGUGGAGUUAAUGGAGGAAUGGAACAACUGGUCCAGGGAGCUUACUGCUCAGUGACUUUAAUCCUUAAUUACCCAGUGGGUAGAUUUUACUCUCGAAUUUCCUAGAUAAUCCUUUAUUCUUAGUGUAGCAAUUUGGCAAUCUAUAUGGUGAGCUUAGAAGCCUUCAUUCAUUUGUUUGUUUAUCGAAAACUUUCAGAGUGUUUUCUAUUGCUAAGCACUGGACUAGGCACUGGGAAAAGAAGAAGAAUAAAAUGUAGACUCCUCCCUCAUGGAACUUGAGUAUAAUAGGGGACAGAUGUGGAAG